GCCCUGUUCUAUACUGCAAUGCCUUAGGUCGACCUAAUUAGGUCAGCGUACAUACUACAGCCUUGCUCCUGCAGAUGUAAGUGCCCUGCUACACCAACAUAAUGACUCCACCACCCCAGAGGCAUAGGGCUUAUGUCGGUGUAGU